UCAGCUUGCAAGGGUUAAUAGGACGGUUUGGACUUUCUGUGCAACAGUCCUGCAGAUGUAUGUGAUGGGAUUACUUUUUUUUUUUUUUUAAACAGGGUGUUGGAAGAGGGUCUGAGAACAAAUGACAGAAAUGGCAGCGAACAGCAGCGUUAGGGUAUUGGCUGGAUUUUUGCCUGUUGUCCUGGCAGCCCAUGACCCUGUCAGAAUUGAAGCGGAUGUAGGUGAAGAUGUGCUCCUGUCCUGCAUUGUCAAACGUGGAGAUGCUAUCAGUCUUUCAAACCCUACAGUUAACUGGCGUUGGUCAGGGAGUUCUGAAAUUGUGAACAGCUACGACUAUGGCAAAAACCAUCCAGAGUAUUAGAGUGGACAAUAUAAGGGGAGAACAGAGUUCUCUUCUCAGGGAUUGUCUGAUGGCAAUGCUUCUCUGCUACUGAAGAAUGACUUUGGGAACUACAUCUGUCAUGCUAGUUUAUAUAAGAACACUCCCCAACUUUACAAAUUGUCCUGCUUAUGCAGAAAAAGACCCAAGGUGUAACUGUUCAGACAGAUGCCUACGUUCCAGGAGGACAUG